GGGGCCGCCUCACGUGGGGCCCGAGCGGCCGCGACCGCGACCGGGCUGCCCCGGAGCCUGUCAGGGCCGUCCCGCCGCUCCUGUCCGCGACCUGGGCACGGGGCAGUCAGCAGCAAAGAGGAGCUGGCCCAGAGCCUGUCAGGGCCGUCCCGCCGCUCCUGUCCGCCACCAGGGCCCGGGGCAGUCAGCAGCAAGGAGGAGCUGGCCCGGGAGGAAGGUUGGAUCCCGAGAGGCGCCCUGCUUCAGAAAACACCGGCGCUUGGAUUUAGGGCUAAACGGGAAGUGUGAAUAAUCCCCAAAGAGUUAAAAGGAUGGGAGUCAGAGAGGUCUUUUCCUCGCAGGAAACACGAGUCAUUCAGGGCUGGCAGCGGUGGGUGAUGGCGCUAGGUGUGGUAGCAUUCCCUGAAGGCUUGGAAAGGGUUUUGUACAAGGUCUUAAACAGAAUGUGUAUGUGGGCAGCCAGGGCCAGCACUGUGCUGUCCGGCUGUGGACACAGGGUGAAUGGCCGGGAUGUCGCCUUUCCACGGCAUCCACAGGGCCUUGGCGGCGAGCGCUGUUUGUUCAGACCUGUCAUUAGAACUAAAGAUCUGGCAAAAGAUCACUCUGUGCAGGAGUGGACAAAUAGACAGUAAGAAAGUACUGAGAUCACCGUGGAGAAAGGCUUGAAACUUGCUAAAAACAUUUUGCUUCUUUCUGAAAAAGCAUACUGUAUUUUUCAAAUGUUGCUUUGCUGUACCACUUAACUGGUCAUGAGCCCUUCACCACUCUGAGUCCCAGGCAUAGGGUCUCUUACACUUCUUUUUUCUUUCUCCAACAUUUCCACAGUUUUUCUCUCUAUCACCACAUGAUUAAUAUUAGUUACCUAAUAUUAGGUAAAGUGAGUGCAGUUGUGCUUACCCAUGCCCACUGCCUGUGAAUUUGGCCUCUCUUGUGUGAUCAGUUGCCAAGGUUUUUCAGCUUGCUAGAGUGUGCGGGCAGCACUGAAUCCUGCCCUAGUAUCUGGCUUUACUGAUGACUUCUGAAUGCUAUGACAGUGACUUAAACUUAACAAUCAAGCCAUUCUCAGCCAUCUUCCUCCUGCUGCCUGCACUCCUGACACUGCCACCUUGCUCACCAGCCAGGAGGUGACAGAUGUCUCUUCUUUACGUCUAAUGCCUCCCACUUGCGGACUGAAUUAAACCUCUUUGUUCCUGCGUUCAACUGACUGAAGGACAGAAGGGAAGUAUGUGUUGUGAACAGCUUCAGAAAUAGAGAACAACACAUCAGAAGGAGGUGACAGCCUUUUCAGCAUGGAAAAAUGGAUUAGGAAGAAGAAGAUGGAAAUGAAAAAGCUUGUGAAAUAAUACCACAUUUAACUGAUGUGAUUGGUGUUGCCCAAAAAUGCCUUGAUUGCUGUGCUGAGUGUGUGCCAGUGCAAAUGCCUCAAGACUUACUAGUUGGGAAUCAGUAAGGAGCUGGCUGUUGGUGCAGUUCCAGUCUCUUAGCAAGGCUUUAUCACAGUGCCUUGUGUGAGCUCAACAUUAUGCACUUAAUGGAGGUGAUGAUAGGGAAGUGGGCCUGAGCAUGAUGCUGGGAAUCACCCUUAAGUGGUCCUUCUAAGCUUCUACCUCUAAAAGUUUCUUGAGAUUUGGAAAGUUUAUUUCCUUGCCUUUUAAAUUUUUAUGGAGAACAUCAGUAUCUUUGAUUAGAGAUAAUAAAUGUUUUAUAAAAUAAAUGAAAACUCUGAAAGUUAAAAAAUUUGGUUUUAGUUUAAACUGCAAAGUUGUUAGCAUAGAAUUUCUGGACAGCUGAAACCUCACACAAAACUCCCAUCUUUUUCUUUAAAAUCUCCAGUACUCCUUAUAUUCUAUUAACAACACUUCACAGUUGUAAAGAAAUCCCUGAAUCAGGAAUUCCUUGUUACUGUUCCAGUAGGGUCCUCCUUUCAGUACUAUGCAGAACAAGAAGUUGUCAAUUGCAUAUUUGAUGUUGUUGUAUUCUAAGUCCUAAAGAUGCCUUUUAAUGUGGCAAUGUCCUUUGUUUUUGUGUGUGUUCUGUGGUGGUUUGCAAAAUCCUUAGAAUUCUGUCUGUAAAAAAAAAAAAUUAAAAAUAUUGGUGUUACUGGU
rnacentral:lncRNA from 1 species